UAUAAUAAAUAAAAUAACUUUCCCAAGGCCACACAGCUAGUAAGUGUCUGAGGUUGUAUUUGAGCCAAGGUCUUCCUUACUCCAGGCCCAUCACUCUAACCACUGAACUACCUGUAUAAUAUUUGUGAUGCAUUUUAGUUUUGACUUCAACACUAUAUUUCCCUUUUAUCUGUAAUCCAUCAAUGAAAAUGAUUAAAGGGAUUUUUUAAAAAUUCAUUUCCAUUUCUGAGAGAUAAUUGAUGAAUAAAUAAGUUGAUAUCAGAGUUUUAUUGAAAAUUCAAGUAUUUCAAAAGCCUUCUUGAAGUAGCUUCUCAUAUUUAGUAAAUUUAUCAUAUUCAAUAUAUUUUGGUAUAGGUUUCUUAUACAUAUUUAUUGAAUUACAGAAGACAGAAGCAAGGCUGUAAAGAAGGCAAGCAGGAAGGAAGGCUUGGUGCAAUUAUUCCAAUUUUAUUGACUGAGAAACUGAGGCAAACAGAGACUUGCUCAGGAUCACCCAAACAGUAAGUGACUGAGGCUAGAUUUGAACUCAGAUUUUCCUGAUUGGAUAGAAUGGAAAACAGAAAGGAAAAAUGUUGAAAGGAUUUUAUUCUAAAUAUGCCAGUCUUUUCCUUACAGAAGGCACACUUCUGUUUUAAACUUUAAAAUGUGUUAAACUGGUUUAAACUUAAGUCAGAGAUAAUAAAUACAUUGUGAUAAAACUCCUGGGAAGAAGA
rnacentral:lncRNA from 1 species